CCAAAUAUUUGUUUCCUAAAACUUACUACUACUUAUUGUUUUAUUUAAAUCCCCUGUUUAUAUAUAGAUUUAACUCAAAAUAGAGCCAAAGCCAGAUUCAAACUUUCCCUAA
rnacentral:rRNA from 1 species